GAAUAGGAAGAAUGGGUAGGAAGGACCUCAGACUAUCACAUCACUGAGAAAUAUCUGGUCCUGCUAAUAGAGUUUCCAAAGGCUACAUGUUAGAAGAAAUGGCCUAUAGUACUUUUUCCUUUUGUCAUUGGUAGUAGUAUGGUAUCAGUGUGACACUAGUUCCAAAGGCACUCAGUUACCUGUAGAUUGUUCCCUUGAAAAGAGAUGUGGGUGUUAUACAGCUCUGUUCAAGCAGAUUACUUUCCCCAUGAGUGUUAAUGAUUCCUAAGGGGAAUCAUUAGGAGAAACAUGCAACUAAUUACAAACCCUAUUGCUGCAGUUUGUCUUGGGGCUAUAAAUACUAAAUUCCUUUAAUCUUUUUAUCACAAUGAUAGGUCUUGGUUGCUUACCUAGUGGUGGAAACCUAAUUUUCAUUACUGAAGUGUUUGGAGCCUUUGAUUCACACCCUUCUCUUGCUACACAAGAGCUUUACAUUAUAGCUGUGGGAGGAAGAGGCAAGCUGUAUCUGUGGUGAGCAGAAUAAUCAUCCCCCAAAGAUGUCCAUUUCCUAACUCUUGGGACCUGUGAAUAAUGUUGCCUGAAGUGGCAAAAGGGACUUCACAGACUUGGAUGAAGUUGAGGGCUUUGAGAUGGGGAAAUAAGCCUGGAUUUUCAAAUUGGGCCUAAUUCUAAUCUCAUGUGUUUUUAAAAGCAGAAAACCUUUCCUAUCUGUGGUAACUUGUUGGUUCUGGAAUGUUUGAAACUGUCAACAACUGGAUAGUUAUGUAGUUUUUAAGGGUGUCCCUCAGGUGAUACCCAGCAAGAAAGUAGAAUUCUCAGUCCUAUGCUGAGUGGGAUUGUGCUGCUAACUCCUGAAGGACUAGGAAACAGACUCCAUUCUAGAGCCUCCAGAAAGGGAUGCAACUUUAAUUCAGCCCCUAAGGUAUAUCCAGCUUCUCUCCUAUAGAACUGUAAAGUAAUAAAUUAAUGUUACUUGGAGC
rnacentral:lncRNA from 1 species